GUUGGGGAGUGUGGAGCAUGAAGCUGUAGGUCCAGCUGGAUGGUUCUGAACCUCACCUUCCAGGAUCCACCAGGACAGUUAGCCUCCUGGAAAACAAGUCUGUUCAGUUAAGAACCACCACCACACACCACCCCCUGCCCCCGGUUGGACCAACUCCCUGUCCACUCCUCACCCUAUAUAGCAGGGCUCCAACAGUCCCAGGAGAAGAACAGCCGAGAUGCAGACCCCACAUCUGCUGGAACUCUGGACCUUGCCUUACUGGGCACCAGGCAAGGCCCCACCUCCUUUGUUUCGUCAUUCGGCUGCUUACCCCCACCGGUAUCCCGCGUCCCCAAGGCACUCCGCGCAGAAACUGUCCUCGGUUGCUAUCACCAUGGCGACUACAGCAGCGCCCCGCCUCUUCACCCCUGGAAAGCCUCCACCAAGCCCAUCACCGCGGCAACGAACUCACCAGGCUCUGCAAGCGCACUGGCCGCGCCCAGCCGUUUAGA